CUAUGGCAGAAAGAAAAAUGUAUCAUUUGUUUUUAUUCAGUAGCUAAGUUUAUAGGGCCCUCUUUGAAUAAUUAUGGAUAUCUUGUUCAAUAUCUGAAAAUAGUGGUAUUGUGCCUUCUCUGCAGAUACUGGGGAGAAUGUUUUGAAUGAGUUAGUGGAACUACACACAGGAAACCAGGGACUGGGCUGAAAUAGAAAUUUAAAAGGACAUUCAAAACUAAUAAAAUAGAAUUCAGCACAAUACUAUUCAAGUUCUGAAUCUCUCAUCUCUCCUCUCUCAUCACCUCUCCUUUCUAAUGUAGAAGAAGACCCAAGAAUCUUAAUUCUUUUCAACUUCUAUAAGGUACCAUGCAAACAAGGGCUCUUAACGAAUUGUGGGUCACAAUAUUUUUUUGUUAUCUUUUGAGAGAAUGAUAUUUCAAUGGUGUUUGUUUAAGUCAUAGCACUGAGGAGAGGAUUCUUGAGUUUCAGUAAGAUUGUGUUGAAAGGAAAGGUGCAAAACCCCAGGCAUCUUCAGAUAUUUGUUUCUGUAAUAUUUAGGUACAUUCUGGUUUCUAAGACAGAGUGAAUUUUGUGAGUGCAGGGCCCUGGGCAGCUUCUACAGUUUCUGUGUAAGAGCAUCACCUUGCUAGACCAUGAGUUUGUCUAUUCUGUAAAAACACUUCUCCCACUCUGAUAUAAGAUUUUUCUCGACUUUGUUUUCUCACCUUCUUUCCAGAAUUUAUUUGCCUUUAGAAGCUGAUGGAUGUGGCAUGAUGAGCAAUCCUUGCCAUCCAUUGCACACGCUUGAACACACUUUGAAUAAAAUUUUAACUGAGUAUCAGAAACAAGAAUAAUUUAAUGGCUACAACUUUUAACCAUUUCACAACUGAUCAGUUUAGAAGGAGUGUAAAAUCAGUAUAUUUCUAAGCCAAUAUAAUAUUCUUUGUUAUGGGUCAGUAUCAUUUGUAUCCUGUAUAAAUGAAAAUUAGAAAUUUAGAGGCUUUAUUUCAGCACUGAGUACAACCUGCAUUUAUUUUCAAAGAACAAAAUGUACUACAGGAUGUUCACUUCUAACAUAAGAUUCUAAACCAUACUCCUAUAACUUAGCCCCCAGGUUUCAGUCAUUUUGGAGAGGAAAAAAAUCUAAAAAUUCUUAGAGUAUUAGUCAAUUUAGAACCAGACCCGAAUUUCAUCGCUUGGACAAUUCUUCAUUUUCAAACCUCUGUGUUUGGCAGAAAUGUCUGGAAUGUGGAGUAUUGUAUUUAAAAAUAAAGCAAAACAAUUCUUCAUAGCCACUCUAUCAUUUAGCUAAACAAAAUCCAUACCCACAUCAUUUUGGAAGCAGGGAGUAGUGAGGAUUGGAGAAGUAGUGGGGGAAAAAGAAAGAAUUAGGAGUAAAACUGUAUAUACAGUGGCCAGAAUUAAUUACUCUGAGGUUUGGAACAAAGAUGAAAAUAUAAAUUAAACAAAACUGCCUUUAUUCCAUAAAAUACUUAAAGUGCUAGUGCAAGAAUUCAGAGGGUGCAGUGUUUAGUUCCCAAGAAAACUGUAUGAAAGGCCAGGAAGCCACUUCUGCUUGGUUAGCCUUGUACCAAGGAUCAAAGCAGAAAGGUAUCUCAUUUCCAUGUAUAACUUUGAAGUAUUUUAUAAAGAAAUUCAGAAAAUGUGCCUUUGAGUAGUUCUUACCAGGCUGCCUUGCAUCAGAAGAAUAAAUAAAAUCUAGAAUGUCUCUUUGCUGGAAGAUGUACCAGUACUGUAUUGUUCAAAACUUCUUCAUCUGUCUCUAGUAAUUCUUGGUUUGUGAAGACCAAGAAAGAGUCAGACAGGUUUUUUAUUGCCUUGGGAUAAUUUUUUUUCUUUUGCUCUCAUAAACCUUCCAUAUGCUUCUACAUCCAUGUCUUGUUUUCAAUUUUAGUGAAGGUUUUUAUUUGGAGUCUCAUAAAAUUCUAAUUUAUUGCAGCUUCUUUUUAUAAAAUGCAGAGGGGAGGAGGGGAGUAUUGAGAUAGCAUGUGCAAGGCAGUCCCAAGGAAUGCAUUUGAGAAUUUAUAAUGUUGGGCAGUUUAUCAACCCCUACUUCAGUUAUUGGCAACUCCUUUUCCUAACUCUCUAACCUAUGAGCCUCUUUUCUUAUAGUGUAUGGAAGACAUGCAGUAUCAGUCUAUUUAAGUAAGAAAGUCUUCUUUCUUACUUAUGCAAACUGUCUGCAUUUGCAGAGUGAAGGGAACUCAGGUGAAAGAGCCUCCCCUGUACAUUAUGUGCUCCUACAGCUGUCAGUUCUCACUGUGCUGUUGAGGACUCAUUUCCAUCAGUGUGCACUGUUUGUUGAAUACUCAUAAGAAAUAAGGUAGGAGUGACAUAUCCUUCUGGAAGUCAGGAGGAGAGCGUUUGCCUUUGAGGGAGCAGGAAUACAUCCAGGCUCACCUACUUGUGCUCGGUUCAGGACUGACUCAGGACCAAACUGAACAAAAAGGAACAAAGUGCAUUUCCCAUCAGCAGAACUGUUUUCCUUUGCCCCUCUCUGGUGUUAAGUUGACCAAUCUAAAUGAAAACCUCAUACUUCAAAUAGUGAAGAAUUGUGGUGCUAAUGAGUUACCAUGGUACAAAGUUACUGCGAAAUUUCAAGUAGUACCUGGCUUCCGUGGAAUGAGCACAACUUUUUUUUUGAGCGAGGAACUACAUCACUUUCAUAUAACUAAGUGCUGUGCUGAAAAUAUCUGUGAAAACAACUCUCAAGAGUUAAAAGAGCAAGAGCACAACGAAAGGUGUGAUCAGGCAAGCCAGUAGCUUGAGAAUUUUGUGCAAAUGGCACGUAUACUUUUGCAUAUGUUGCUUGUCUGAUAUACAUGUAAACAUAUAUAUGUACACACAUGCAGAUAUUUUCUGAACAUAUUCUUCUUUGUGAAUGUGAACCCCUUCCCACUCUGUACAUAUUGUGGUAUAUCAGUAACACAACACUUGUGAUGUUUAAAUGUUUGGGGAGAAGACUCUCCUGGAAAAAGUUCACGGGGGUGGGUCCACCUAAGUACUGAAAGAGAAAUUCAAGUCCCGUAGCACAUUUGAAAUCUAUUCUUGCAGGGGCUGUAAGGAAAUAUGAGACCUGCUCUGCUGGAGGGAAACUGCUGGGCACUGGACCCUUUUUUUCCUCCUCUAAAUAAAACAUAGAAUAGGCUUUUAACUGCCUUUUCUCCAUAAUAGCUACUUAACCCUGUUCACUAACAUUAAGGAAAAAAAAGGAAAAUUCCAAGAAAAAUUCCUAUUCAGAGUAAAAAAUAUAAAUUAAACCAAAGUGCGCAAUGCACACCCUUUUCUUUCCUUCCUGUUUUGUUUGGUGUUUUCUAACUCUGCUUUUUGGACAGCUGAAUGGGGGCUGGGAAAGUGUUUACAAUAUUUUCACAUGAUUGAGAUGGCAGAGUUCUUGCACUCUGUGAAAGGCCUUCUGUUUUCAGAUGGCAUUGAAAGUUUACCGUCUUUCCAGACAAAAGGAAGAGAGCCCGUUGCCAGCGGAUGAGUAAUGGGCAUGGCCUCUGCACAAUACCUCCUAUCCAGCCCUAAAUCUACAUGGUGUUCUUAGGCUUCCCGGCUUCUCCAAAGCAACCUUUGUCUCUGCUCUGGGAGACCAAAACUGCUCGUUGGGCAAGUGGGGAUGCAGCCAAGAGGGGAAGGCUCAGUGACAACAGUUGCUCAGUGCUCACUGCCCAGUAUCUGCCUCCUUACCAUGCCACUAUAAUAGUUGGGAACCCAUCAACAAUUGAGCAUCUUCUAUACAAAUAUGUUGCAGACCAUCUGUAUAGUUUUCAGUUCCAGAAGAUUCCAGUAACUCACUAAGUUUUAAUACUUUUUUUUUUCCUUCUCUUUAAUCUGAUGGGCUGCCCUGAUAUAAGUGAUUAAAGCAAAAGCCUGACAUAAUUUCUUCGGAGCUAAAACUGCACAGAAGUUGCCAAUUCCUGUAUUUGUUUUCUUACAAGAAACUUGAAGCAGGCAUUUUCCACUUUUAACAAUUUUUAGGUUCUAUCAAGUCAGCUUUUUUUCAUUUUUUCGGUCAGAAAAAUAUUUUGGUGAGAACGAUUGAUAACAUAAUCUUAGAAAAUAUUUGAACAGGCAAUUCUGAAGUUUUUCCAGAGACUUGUUGGUGUUAUAGAGACCAGUAGAGUGAAAUGAUCCCAUCAUCAAAAUACAUGCAAAAAAAGGGUGAAGGAAUCCAUAACUCCAUGAGAGCUGCAUGGUCAACUCAUGUCACUUCUGCCACCUUGCUGAAUGCCGUGUCACACUGCCAACACUUGGAAGCACUGACUGCUGGCUCCUGCAAGACUGGAAGGAAAGGAAGACCUGAACUUCAUUGCAUUGACUACAUCUAAACUAUUAAACAAAAUUAAUCAGAGAAUUUUCCUGGAGGCCAACUGGCAUGAAAGAGCUUGAAUCCACACAGCUAAACUCUCUUGCCCUCCAAAUCACGGUGGCCACAUCCAAAAUAUCUGUUGGAGGUGGUGCCUGACCUGGGUCAAUACCCAAGCUGUGCUUUGACAUUGUCUGGAAGAGCAUUAGCAGGCUUGCACCAAAACCAUGCCAGGGACCAGUUUAGUAGUAUGGAUGGUUUCAGGCCCAUGCCUUGCUGGUCUUGUUUAGUUUAUUUAGUGUCAGAGGGAAACCUCAGUAAUUCUGCCAGGAGUCAACAGGAAACUCCUUCUGGCCUCAGCCACCAGAAGCUGCUGAGAAGUAUAAUCAUUAGGUUGUUCACCUCCUUCACAUUUGGAUUAUUCUUCUCAUUUUUUUAUUUACCAAAUGAGCACUGAAAAUCUUUGAAAUCUCAUAGAAUAAUAAAAUUGGGUUGUUGCCUGCACAAAACUUGUUAGUUUUGAAUUACCAAGAGAUUUUUUCACACAAGCUGAGCUUCUGGAAAAGCCAGCUUUAGCUCUCCUCCCUGAUGAAGGAUCUCCUAUGGCUUUGAGCAAGUUGCUAAGAGCUUGUGUGACCAGUGCCCUGUUUGGAUAUAGGGUUAAAAAGCAGUGAGGUGUUGAGAUACAAACACACCAGGUGCUUGAGGUCACAUAAGCAUGCUAAACUGGUGUGAACAUAGAACUCCCCUUGAUUUCUGUAGCAACUUAUUUCAUAUGUCUGGGAAGGCAAUUUAUUUUAAACUCUGCCGAAAGAACAUGAGUACAUUGUUAUAUCAGGAUCUUUUCAAAGUCAGAGCUCUGGGGCUGGGUUUGGAUAAACCUGAUAUGUCCUUCAUACAUUGUGAGGUAGUUUGGGGAGCUCGUGCUCUGUGUUUCUAGAGCUAACUCUGUGCAAUGGUAUCCCAAUUAUCCUAUGGAACACUGUACUUCACAGUACUGUGAGAUACUUCUGCCUGCAGCAAUAUAAAUCAGAAUCAGGCAAUUAAUGCCUGAAUCUUUUUCUCUAAUCUGAAGAUAAAUGGCAGUGAAGGCCAAGUAGUUUUAAAAAGCUCAUCGUACAAAAUUAUUAUAUUAAGCCAUGCUGUAUUACUGAGAUUACAGAAAAUUACCUACGUGUAUUGAAUUAAACCAUGAUUUUCCAAUGAUCUCAGCAGCAGCAGCAGCAGAACUGGGACAAUUUAAUCAUUGUGUUAUCAGUUUGGUAGGUAACUACUACCCUGAAUUGCUGCCCAGAAUGAAAAAAUGGUAUUGUUUUAUACAGAAACUAGCCCUUAUUUAACUUCCAGCAUUAGCCCUUACUCUUCUUAGACAUCAGGCAUAUGUUUGAAUUUCUGAAGCUGACAGGUACUGAUUUCAACAACAUUUAAAGCAAUGCAUAUUUUGCCUCAGGUUUGCUAGAGGAUAAGUGUACUCUUAAUUAAUGUGGUCAUCUGAUGUACAGCACCUUGCUGAACUAUCAGAACUUGAUUGUGUGCUUUUACCCAGUGUUCCUUUUUGGGUACAAAGUCUGUUUCAUAAUUGACCUAUUCAUGGAUCAGUCUCAAAAAAGAGGUUGUAGAGCCCUACACGUGCAUAGUCCUACCUGGCCCAGGCUGUGCAAAUCCUAUUUAAUGAAAAUGUUAUGAAGCAAAGAAACAAGUUGUUACCCAGAAUGAUGUACUCAGAAAUUGGUAUAUUUUCUCUGAGCUGGAUUUUGAAAAGCAGGAAGUAUGGUAAAGCAGAGGAGAAACAUUUAACCUUAUCUAAUUUUUCCUCCCUUUUCCUUCCCUUUUCUGUCUUGCCCCUCAAUCUCCAAGCACUCUCCCAUGGAUGCUUGCAUAUGGCAGUGGCUCUGCUGAGACCAGUGCAUCAGUUAAGACAAGUGCUAUGCAUAUGCAUGGUCCAGCACUUCUACCUUGCUCCCUAUCACGGCAGGAGGAUUGGGAUAAUUCUCCUGUUUGCACCAGCUCAGGGGCAAAUUUUUGAGUGCUUAGAAGAAGAUACUCCUGAACAUACACAGUUUUUGAAGUUUACCUCUGAUGACAUCUUUGGGAAACACACUGAUUACCCCACAGGAACAAGGGAUGCAUAAGGCCUACAAGCUCUUUACCAGGAAAAGUCAUUUACAUGGAAAAGUCAUUCUGUGACAGCCAAGAGGUGAAAUGAAACAAAAGAGACCCAGUUCAACACACAUGGACUUUCUGAAUGAAGGCAACUGAAAGGUCAAGAGAAUAAUCUGAGUGAUCAGCAAGGUGGUGAGGCACACACCAAAAGUCAGCUUCAGUCUCACACGUGCUGUUCCAGAUCACGUUUAUAGCAAGCAGAACUUCAGACUAAAGGAAAUAAAGCAUCAAGUUUGAGCUCUGAUGUUUCAUUGAUUUAGCCAAGUUCACAGAAGCCAAAUAUGUCUGAGUUUGUUCACACAGCUGGUGAGCUAUAAAGUCUUUCUCCCUAUAGCAAACUUCUCUCCUCCUUCCAAGAGCUGGGAGAAGGGACUCAGAGUUUGCUGGAGCAUGUGGACAUUGGGAGAGAGAAGUGGGGUCACCUGGUUAGGCAGAGUGGCUCUUGUGUGAGAUUGCAUUUCUCAGACUAAAAGCUCCUCUUUGUCUUCCCCAAAGUAGAAGCUUUCCUUCUUCCACUUAGCUCAUUUGCAGGGGUUCGCUGAGGAAAAUCCACUAGUUCAUGCUGACUUUAGGGCAAGAUUGCUUGAUUUGUUUGCAUUCAAGUUACUUAUUAGUCUAGCUGUAAGUUCAGGUUUGUUUCAGAUACAGUGACCUCUUCUGUUUUACACAGAAAGCAAACAGGGCAGAGUGUAUGAAACCUGUGUACACAAAUCGCAAUGAAUGUGUGUCUGAGUACAGCCCAUUGAAAGAAAAAUAUAUAGUCACAUGGUAAAUUUAGAAAAUUGGGUCAAAGAAUCUAGCCCUUUUUUUGGCUAAACAAUUCUUAAAUGGUGCUUCAGUAAAAGCCUGAGCUGGAAUAGACUUAGACACAUAUUUAGCACAGUGUUAUGAACACUUGAGUAUUUCUGGUUCUGAGACCCCAUCAUGAGGUUAUUAGAGUGCUAAGGCACAUCAGAUAUGAGAGAGAGCCAGGUCUUGCUUGUGCCUUUGCUAAUGGAAACUCACCCAAGUGAACAGAGUUGCUUGGUUUACAUUUGCACAGUUGAUGCCACAGCUUGGCCUAGGACAUAAAAGUUUGAACAUGAGGAGAAAAUAACAAUCAAAUGUCUGCUAAUGCCUAGAAAUGUGAACAGUGGACUGCAUCUAAAACUAAAAGCAAGGAGAGAGAAAUAUCAGGCAUUCGUGUAAAGCACUUGGCUAAAAUUUAGGGUCUAUUUUUUCAUAAUUAUUGACUUGAGACAAUUGGACCUGAUUAUUCAGAAUUAUUAAGAAUGCAGUAUCCUUAGCCGAGUUCUCUGAAAAUGAAAUCUCUGAGGCUUACAGCAAAAAUUAAUUGUCCUAGCCCUCUUAAAUACA